CUCCUUUGGGGCCGGGCAUUUACCUUGGAUGAGUCCUGUGUGAGCCCUUAUAGGGUCGGGCACCAUGAGUAGUUAGUGAAAGACCUGUGUGAGCUCCUUUGGGGGCCGGGCACUGACAGAGGGAGUUUUGGGAUCAUGUCCAAUCCGAGAUGUGAAAUGUUUGUGCAGUGAUCGCAUCAUAUGAUAGCAUGUUUUAAAUGUGAUUUUUUAUAGAUUCCACUCACUGGGC
rnacentral:lncRNA from 1 species